rnacentral:rRNA from 1 species
AUUGAACGCUGGCGGCAGGCCUAACACAUGCAAGUCGAGCGGCAGCACGGGUACUUGUACCUGGUGGCGAGCGGCGGACGGGUGAGUAAUGCCUAGGAAUCUGCCUGGUAGUGGGGGAUAACGUUCGGAAACGAACGCUAAUACCGCAUACGUCCUACGGGAGAAAGCAGGGGACCUUCGGGCCUUGCGCUAUCAGAUGAGCCUAGGUCGGAUUAGCUAGUUGGUGAGGUAAUGGCUCACCAAGGCGACGAUCCGUAACUGGUCUGAGAGGAUGAUCAGUCACACUGGAACUGAGACACGGUCCAGACUCCUACGGGAGGCAGCAGUGGGGAAUAUUGGACAAUGGGCGAAAGCCUGAUCCAGCCAUGCCGCGUGUGUGAAGAAGGUCUUCGGAUUGUAAAGCACUUUAAGUUGGGAGGAAGGGCAGUUACCUAAUACGUAAUUGUUUUGACGUUACCGACAGAAUAAGC